GGCCAUACUAACCCAGACAAAGUGAUCAUCAAGGUCGACCCUUCAGUCAUCUCGGC
rnacentral:tRNA from 1 species